rnacentral:tRNA from 1 species
CGCGGAGUCGUCCAACCCGGCAGGACCCCGGCCCUGGGAGCCGGUGAUCUCGGUUCAAAUCCGAGCUCUGCGA